AUGAGGAAACACUCUAUGUGUAGCAUGUCUAUGCUUGUUAUAGGAGUAGUACUACUUUUGGGAGGAAAUCACAAGGGAGAGGCAUUGACUUGUAGUCCUGUAGAGUUCAGCUCUUGUUUAGGAUCAAUCACAAGUUCAUCUCCACCAUCAACUCUUUGUUGCCAAAAAGCAAGAGAGCAAAGGCCAUGCCUUUGUGGUUAUCUCAAGAACCCAAGUCUCAGACAGUAUGUUUACUCACCAGGUGCCAGAAGGGUCGCUAAAUCUUGCGGGGUUCCCUUUCCAACUUGUUAG